AUUUGCAAGAUUUAAAAUUAAUUUCAGGUGAGAAGGUCCAUUGCAAAUGCUUGUCGAUUGCUAGAAAAUUAUGAAUACAAGAAAGCAUUCCGAUACCUUUAUAACCAUUUUCCUGGAGCAAAGAAAGCAGUCAGUAACUUAAUCAAGAACAAAGUCAGAAAGGGAGUAAAGAAUCUCUUAAAGGAAACAAAUAACUCCUUAGUUAAGAAAUGCAGCAUGGAAAACAUUGUUGGAUUCAAGUGGGAUUCUAUAGUGACAGAUGUGUGAAAGCACAUACCCCUAUUGCAUGCUGCAAUAGUUGCAACUAUUAGCAGUCCAUUGACAGAAGCAACUCUUCAGUCAGGGAAAAACAAAUCUCUGAUUCCUGGAGCAGGAUUGGCCGCAUCCAUCCUCUUGCACUUGAAAUCGCCUUUCAAAGUGAAGUUUGUGCAAGGGCUUAAUUCUAUAGAGCUGUUUAGGAGUGGGACACAAAGAAAGGCAUUUAGUCAUUUGAACAAACUAAGGUUUUGUACUAGUUUAAAGACUGUCCUAAGAAUCAUAACAAAACUCAGGGUACAUGCUGAUGCAGAUGUUUUGAAAAUGAAGCAUGUUAUUGAGAAACAGAUGAAAUCAGGGGUGUUUGAAGUUCCUGAGGAAGAAGUUGGUUAUAGGAGCAGUGAAGACAGUAACUCUGUAAUAAGUGAGGAGAGUGAAAGAGAGACUGAAUCAUCACAGGCCUUAGUAUCUUCAUCACCAACAAUUAGCAGCUCAUUGCAGGAGUUGCCUAGUGAUAGAAAAACUGAUGUUGAGAUACAAAGUAUUUAGUCUGAAGGAGAUCUUUCUUCACCUGGGUAAACCAUUACAUGGGACAAUGUUGGCAAGAUGACAAAGGCAUGCCAUCAAAACACAAACAGACGGAACAAAAUGAUGCUAUGGGCCUUAUCAUAUUGUGCAGAAAAUCGCAUCCCUACCACUCAUAUCACUGAUGAAGAGGUUCUAAAGGCUGUUGACAUUCCCAUGGAAAAGUUUCUGCCCAUGAAGCAAGACCUUCAAAAAGUAAGAAACCGCAUGGAAAUCAUUGUCAUGCAAAUAAUUCAGCAACAUGAUCCUUACUUUGCCAACAGCAAGGUUGUGAAACACAUUAGGCACAAAUACUGGAGGGAAUAAAGUAAAAAGAGC